CCUACGGGCGGCUGCAGUGGGGGAUAUUGCACAAUGGGGGAAACCCUGAUGCAGCGACGCCGCGUGGGUGAAGAAGUAUUUCGGUAUGUAAAGCCCUAUCAGCAGGGAAGAAAGAAGACGGUACCUGACUAAGAAGCCCCGGCUAACUACGUGCCAGCAGCCGCGGUAAUACGUAGGGGGCGAGCGUUAUCCGGAUUCACUGGGUGUAAAGGGAGCGUAGACGGCCGUGCAAGCCAGGAGUGAAAGCCCGGGGCCCAACCCCGGGACUGCUCUUGGAACUGUGCGGCUGGAGUGCGGGAGGGGCAGGCGGAAUUCCUGGUGUAGCGGUGAAAUGCGUAGAUAUCAGGAGGAACACCGGCGGCGAAGGCGGCCUGCUGGACCGCGACUGACGUUGAGGCUCGAAAGCGUGGGGAGCGAACAGGAUUAGAUACCCCUGUAGUC
rnacentral:rRNA from 1 species